UGGGGAAUAUUGCACAAUGGGCGCAAGCCUGAUGCAGCCAUGCCGCGUGUAUGAAGAAGGCCUUCGGGUUGUAAAGUACUUUCAGUCGGGAGGAAGGUGGUAAGGUUAAUAACCUUGGCAAUUGACGUUACCGACAGAAGAAGCACCGGCUAACUCCGUGCCAGCAGCCGCGGUAAUACGGAGGGUGCAAGCGUUAAUCGGAAUUACUGGGCGUAAAGCGCACGCAGGCGGUUGAUUGAGUCAGAUGUGAAAUCCCCGGGCUUAACCCGGGAAUUGCAUCUGAUACUGGUCAGCUAGAGUCUUGUAGAGGGGGGUAGAAUUCCAUGUGUAGCGGUGAAAUGCGUAGAGAUGUGGAGGAAUACCGGUGGCGAAGGCGGCCCCCUGGACAAAGACUGACACUCAGGUGCGAAAGCGUGGGGAGCAAACGGG
rnacentral:rRNA from 1 species